CGUAGGGUCCGAGCGUUGUCCGGAAUUAUUGGGGCGUAAAAGGGCUUGUAGGCGGUCCGUCGCGUCAGAAGUGAAAACUCAGGGGCUUAACCCUGAGCCUGCUUUUUGAUACGGGCGGACUAGAGGGGAUGCAGGGGGAGAACGGAAUUCCUGGUGGAACGGUGGAAUGCGCAGAUAUCAGGAGGAACACCGGUGGCGAAGGCGGUUCUCUGGGCAUUACCUGACGCUGAGAAGCGAAAGCGUGGGGAGCAAACAGGCUU
rnacentral:rRNA from 1 species